GCUAUACUGCGCCCCGUUGGUGCCUGGCCCGCGCGUCGUUGCGGGCCGGGGUAAACGGGAAGCAGGAUGGCAGGGCCCCCCCGGGGCCGACGCCUGACCUGCGCUGCCCCCGCAACGGUAAGCGGAAGGAGUGCCUCGGCACCCCGGCUCGCAUUCACGGUCACUGGAGGACUCGUUCUCCGGGAAGGCCUUGCGAGUACUUCCGCCAGCCCGGAUACCGGCCAGCACGGAGACUGCGCU
rnacentral:ncRNA from 2 species